AAAUGUUUAUUAAACCAGUGAGGAAUUGUUUGGCAUAUUCUGCCCAUUGUAAUCUGCAGAAUAAAAAAUAUUUAUUUUGCCUGGUUGUCAUUCUGAAGCCAUUUUGAUAAAAUGGAGAAUACUAGAGAAAUGAUGAACUCAGAUAAACAGUAGUGUGUCUUGGUCAUGAUCGAUUAAAAUAGAACCAUUUUUCAAACUGAACUCCCAAACCAGAACUUUAAGACCAGUGUCCCUGAAGGAUAAUCAUAUCAUUAGCUAUUCAGGUACUUACUGAUUUCAAGGCAUUGUGAAUAUACAAAGUUUUCAGCAUAUUUACUAAAUACCUACUCUAUGUGUAUUACUUUGCAGUGCUGUAUGAUGGAUUUUUUUUCCCAAUAGGUUAUGUGCUAGCUAGUAUAUAAACUUAAAAAUGUGGAAAGAUAAAUAGCACAAAAGAUAAAGGAUUCAUUACACCAGUGAAGGAAUUGUUUUUAAGACAGUAUUGUUUCUUUACUCUUAUGGAUUACAAACGAAUAAAUUCUGUAGAGGUUCAGAUGAAUCUAGUAUAGUUGCCAGAAUUAUAUGAUUUGCUUCCCUCUUAAGAAUUAUUAGAGGGACUUCCCCGGUGGCGCACUGGUUGAGAAUCCACCUGCCAAUACAGGGAACAUGGGUUCGAGCCCUGG